GCCCCGUUGGUGCAGCGGCCUAGCACGCCAGCCUUUCAAGCUGGAGAUCACGGGUUCGAAUCCCGUACGGGGUACCA
rnacentral:tRNA from 2 species